rnacentral:rRNA from 1 species
AUUGAACGCUGGCGGCAGGCUUAACACAUGCAAGUCGAGCGGAGAUGAGGUGCUUGCACCUUAUCUUAGCGGCGGACGGGCGAGUAAUGCUUAGGAAUCUGCCAUUUAGUGGGGGACAACAUUCCGAAAGGAAUGCUAAUACCGCAUACGUCCUACGGGAGAAAGCAGGGGAUCUUCGGACCUUGCGCUAAAUGAUGAGCCUAAGUCGGAUUAGCUAGUUGGUGGGGUAAAGGCCUACCAAGGCGACGAUCUGUAGCGGGUCUGAGAGGAUGAUCCGCCACACUGGGACUGAGACACGGCCCAGACUCCUACGGGAGGCAGCAGUGGGGAAUAUUGGACAAUGGGCGGAAGCCUGAUCCAGCCAUGCCGCGUGUGUGAAGAAGGCCUUUUGGUUGUAAAGCACUUUAAGCGAGGAGGAGGCUACUAGUAUUAAUACUACUGGAUAGUGGACGUUACUCGCAGAAUAAGCACCGGCUAACUCUGUGCCAGCCGCCGCGGUAAAAC